UAGAACUCACUCUGUAGACCAGACUGACCUCAAACUCAUAGAGAUCCACCUGCCUCUGUCUCUCAAGUGCUGGGGAAAAGGCCCUGCAAUCGUCUUGAUUUUGACACAUGAACUGCAGUGGUCCCAUUGGUGAGUCUGUGAGGUGGCCAUAUGAGAAAGCUCAUGGAACUCACAGAGUGAAGGGCAGCUGGGCAUUAUGAGAGUUUGCAUCCAAAACAAGCAAGAGGAAGAGUGACUACAGCAGGCAGCCUCUCUGCUCCUCCUGGGCAGAAUGAACACUGUGUUCCAGGGGAUGGAGGUUUUCUUCAUCUGUCACCUUCAUCAGUUACAGGAAACAGGGCUUUUCUGUGUCUGCAGCAGAAGCUGGGUGUGCUGGCAGCAUCUGUCAUCUCCACAGCUAUGAAGUUCACAGGAGUCCAUCCCAGGACAAGAAGACUGCACGUGAUGGUCUGGGAACAUAGUUCAGCCGUACUCUGUUUGCCCAACAUGUAUGACGCCCUCAGUCUGACUGCCAGCAUAGGAAAAUGAACAAAAGAAAGCCAAAAGCCCUUUUACAUUUACUUACUCAUCUAUGAAACGUGUGCCCGUGCCACCCCACCCAUGUGGAAGUCAGGGCUCAAGAGUCAGUUCUCUCUUUACACCAUGUGGGUUCCAGGAUUCUAACUCAGGCCAGGUAGCAAUUGGACUUUAUCUGCUGAGUCAUCACUAGCCCAAAUUGGAAGAAGAGUAACAUUUCAUGCCAAUGACAUCAUCUCAUAAUGGUUGUGCUAUCAUUGUGGGCGUUGAAUAUGGGAAGUGACCGUGACUUCACUGGCCCACCGGUGACCAUGUCAGUGCCACGAUUGUCCUAGGAUUUCUACCUCAGCUUGUUGCUUUUGUCUACAGUAACUGCACCGAGUGUCGGGAACAUCUGUAAUAUUCCAGACAAUUUACAAUAAUAACAUAAAUAAAGCCAGGAAGCCUCGACAAGAUAAGCCCAGGGCACCUGGGAAAGGAUGCACGCCUUUUUCCAGUCCUGUUCUGGCCCACUGGGACUUUGGGGCCUUCCAAGUCCUUCUCUGUACAUGUCAUGGUCCCUUCAGUCCCAGUUCUGAAUACAUAUCCCCCUCUCAGCAUCAACCCUUCUCCAAGGGUCAUGCUGUCAAUCAUUCUUCAUUCUUACCACCAUGUGAUUGUCCAAGCCGAGGAUCUGACCGCCAGUUGUUUACAGUAAAUGGAAGGGGACCCAACUUCAGUUGCCAGUACCCACACCAGGCUGCUUGUGACCACCUGUAACUCCAGCUUCAGGGGAGCUAAUGUCUUCCUCCAAUCUCUUUGGGCUACUACACACCGGUGGUGCACAUAAUUUCAUGUAGGUGCACAUACAUACACAUAAAUAAAUAAUAAAUACAUUAAAAAAUCUUA